GGAUGUAGCUCAGUUGGUUAGAGCGUCGGAUUGUGGUUCCGAAGGUCGCGGGUUCGAACCCCGUCUUU
rnacentral:tRNA from 1 species